AAAGAAAGGAUCUCAAUUCGUUUUACGUUUUCAAGUUUCUAGUUAUACACUUUCUUAUCCAACUCCCUAUCAAAACCAUAUACCCUUCACAUAGGGCAACACUGGCUCAAAAAAUCGAGCCGCUGUGUUGACAGUUAUUGAUCGAUGAUAUUGUAAACACAAUGUCGAAAUUAAUUUUUAUUUUGCUCUCUGUUUUCGGGCUUUUCUCCGGUCUGAUCUGUUACCUUCAAUUGUACGAACUCAUUGUGAUGAAUUGUAAUUGACUUUUAUUUUGACUUCAGCGGUUGGUCUUAAUGAAUCCGCUUAAGCUGCCUCUAGUGCCGUGGACUUCCCCUUUUUCCUGUUCAUUUUCCACGUUCAGAAUGUCGGAGGGAGAGAGCAAAACGGUCCAAUAAGUGACACUGACUAAUUUGGAACCAUUAAUCUCGGAGCUGCUUAGCGUCAGUCACGCUGGUCGGGCAGCCAUCAAUACGCAUCAAAAUCGAAUGCGAAUAGUGCAUGUUUACAUGGAUAGAUGUGCAACACACCAGGGGACACACUUCUAGGUCAGCACGUACAUAUUUAUGUGAGCUUCAGAUAAGUGCUAUUAUUUUGACCGCAACUGUGGCCCAACAGUCUCCAUGACGAAUGUGUGACCGCUGCGUCUCGCUUGGGUGUCGGUCGUUUGGUGUUCCUGAUUUGCCUCCAUUUCUAAGCCCAGUGUGCAGUACUCAGAGCCCAUUCCGAUUUUCAUAGACGGGUCCAAGCGUAAGCCCACCCAUUCCCGUUCCCCAUUUCCGCGGACAUUGAGGCGAUUGCGGUCGUGGACUUGGACGUGGAUCUGAAUGUGAAUCUGGACGCCGACGUGGACAAGGCGUCCAAUCAAGCCGCGUGUCUGGCAGUCAACUAGUCACUCACUUUGGCCACAGAGACUGCGUCGGUCCGUCAGUCAAAUACUCGCUUUAAUUUCGACCUCCUCGCGAUUAGCGAAGCACCAGGAGAAAUAUGUUUGGCGAUUAAAACGUUUAUUUCCCGGUGUAUUGCUGCAUGAGUUGCUGGAGCUGCAUGACUACCGGGCAUAAUUUCUGCACCACCGAACGAAAUAUGGUAC